UGGGGAAUUUUGGACAAUGGGCGAAAGCCUGAUCCAGCAAUGCCGCGUGUGUGAAGAAGGCCUUCGGGUUGUAAAGCACUUUUGUCCGGAAAGAAAUGGCUCUGGUUAAUACCUGGGGUCGAUGACGGUACCGGAAGAAUAAGGACCGGCUAACUACGUGCCAGCAGCCGCGGUAAUACGUAGGGUCCAAGCGUUAAUCAGAAUUACUGGGCGUAAAGCGUGCGCAGGCGGUUGUGCAAGACCGAUGUGAAAUCCCCGAGCUUAACUUGGGAAUUGCAUUGGUGACUGCACGGCUAGAGUGUGUCAGAGGGGGGUAGAAUUCCACGUGUAGCAGUGAAAUGCGUAGAGAUGUGGAGGAAUACCGAUGGCGAAGGCAGCCCCCUGGGAUAACACUGACGCUCAUGCACGAAAGCGUGGGGAGCAAACAGGAUUAGAUACCCUGGUAGUCCACGCCCUAAACAAUGUCAACUAGUUGUUGGGGAUUCAUUUCCUUAGUAACGUAGCUAACGCGUGAAGUUGACCG
rnacentral:rRNA from 1 species